rnacentral:rRNA from 1 species
AGGGUUUGAUCCUGGCUCAGAACGAACGCUGGCGGCGUGGAUAAGGCAUGCAAGUCGAGGGAGAACCAGCUUCGGCUGGGGAGACCGGCGAAAGGGUGAGUAAUGCGUAGACAACCUGCCCCCGAGUCUGGAAUAACCGUUGGAAACGGCGGCUAAUACUGGAUAGUCCGGAAGUUUCGCAUGGAACUUCCGGUAAAGGUUGCCUCUGAUUCAAGCUUCUGCUUGGGGAGGGGUCUACGUCCUAUUAGCUUGUUGGUGGGGUAACGGCCUACCAAGGCUGUGAUGGGUAGCGGGGCUGAGAGGUUGGCCCGCCACACUGGGACUGAGACACUGCCCAGACUCCUACGGGAGGCUGCAGUCGAGAAUCUUCCGCAAUGGGCGAAAGCCUGACGGAGCGACGCCGCGUGGGGGAGGAAGGCCUUCGGGUUGUAAACCCCUGUCACUGGUUAUGAAUCGGCUCGGAUCGAAUAGGUCCGUUUCGUGACAAAGGCCGGAGAGGAAGCCACGGCUAACUACGUGCCAGCAGCCGCGGUAAUACGUAGGUGGCGAGCGUUGUUCGGAAUCACUGGGCAUAAAGCGUUCGUAGGCGGUUCAUUCAGUCCGAUGUGAAAGCCCUACGGCUCAACCGAGGAACUGCGUCGGAUACUGAUGGACUUGAGGGUCGGAGGGGAGAGCGGAAUUCCUGGUGGAGCGGUGAAAUGCGUAGAUAUCAGGAGGAACGCCAGUGGCGAAAGCGGCUCUCUGGACGACUUCUGACGCUGAGGGACAAAAGCCAGGGGAGCGAACGGGAUUAGAUACCCCGGUAGUCCUGGCCGUAAACGAUGGGCACUAGACUGCCGGAUCCCCGAUGGUUCGGCGGUCGAAGCUAAUGUAUUAAGUGCCCCGCCUGGGGAGUACGGCCGCAAGGCUAAAACUCAAAGGAAUUGACGGGGGCUCACACAAGCGGUGGAGCAUGUUGCUUAAUUCGAAUCAACGCGAAGAACCUUACCUGGGCUUGACAUGCUGGUGGUACGGACCCGAAAGGGCGAGGACCCGGUUUCCGGGAGCCAGUACAGGUGUUGCAUGGCUGUCGUCAGCUCGUGCCGUGAGGUGUUGGGUUAAGUCCCUUAACGAGCGGAACCCUUAUCGUUAGUUGCCAGCGGGUUAUGCCGGGGACUCUAGCGAGACUGCCGGUGUUAAACCGGAGGAAGGUGGGGAUGACGUCAAGUCAGCAUGGCCCUUACGCCCAGGGCGGCAAACGUGCUACAAUGGCCGGUACAAUGCGCAGCAAGACCGUGAGGUGGAGCAAAUCGCAAAAAGCCGGUCCCAGUUCGGAUUGGAGGCUGCAAUUCGCCUCCAUGAAGUCGGAAUCGCUAGUAAUCGGAGGUCAGCCAUACUCCGGUGAAUAUGUUCCUGAGCCUUGUACACACCGCCCGUCAAGCCACGGGAGUCGGUAGCACCCGAAGUCGCCGACCCAACCCCUUCUGGGGAGGGAGGUGCCGACGGUGAGACUGAUGACUGGGACUAAGUCGUAACAAGGUA